AGGGCACUGGAAGGUCCCUAAACCGAAAGGGGCUCUGCCCGCCCGAGGAUGGGCCGGCGGCCGAUUAGGUAGUUGGUGGGGUAACGGCCCACCAAGCCCAUAAUCGGUACGGGCAGUGAGAGCUGGAGCCCGGAGAUGGACACUGAGACACGGGUCCAGGCCCUACGGGGCGCAGCAGGCGCGAAACCUCCGCAAUGCUCGAAAGAGCGAUGGGGGGACCCCAAGUGCCGUGGUACAACCACGGCUUUUCCGGAGUGUAAGAAGCUCCGGGAAUAAGGGCUGGGCAAGGCCGGUGGCAGCCGCCGCGGUGAUACCGGCGGCCCGAGUGGUGGCCACUAUUAUUGGGCCUAAAGCGUCCGUAGCCGGGCUUGUAAGUCCCUGGCGAAAUCCCACGGCUCAACCGUGGGGCUUGCUGGGGAUACUGCAAGCCUUGGGACCGGGAGAGGCCGGGGGUACUCCUGGGGUAGGGGUGAAAUCCUAUAAUCCCAGGAGGACCGCCAGUGGCGAAGGCGCCCGGCUGGAACGGAUCCGACGGUGAGGGACGAAGGCCAGGGGAGCAAACCGGAUUAGAUACCCGGGUAGUCCUGGCUGUAAAGGAUGCGGGCUAGGUGUUGCUUGGACCUCGAGUCCAAGCAGUGCCG
rnacentral:rRNA from 1 species